UGGAGAGUUUGAUCCUGGCUCAGGACGAACGCUGGCGGCGUGCCUAAUACAUGCAAGUCGAGCGGGGUUACUUAGAAGCUUGCUUCUAAGUAACCUAGCGGCGGACGGGUGAGUAACACGUAGGCAACCUGCCCACAAGACAGGGAUAACUACCGGAAACGGUAGCUAAUACCCGAUACAUCCUUUUCCUGCAUGGGGGAAGGAGGAAAGGCGGAGCAAUCUGUCACUUGUGGAUGGGCCUGCGGCGCAUUAGCUAGUUGGUGGGGUAAUGGCCUACCAAGGCGACGAUGCGUAGCCGACCUGAGAGGGUGAUCGGCCACACUGGGACUGAGACACGGCCCAGACUCCUACGGGAGGCAGCAGUAGGGAAUCUUCCGCAAUGGGCGAAAGCCUGACGGAGCAACGCCGCGUGAGUGAUGAAGGUUUUCGGAUCGUAAAGCUCUGUUGCCAGGGAAGAACGUCUUGUAGAGUAACUGCUAUAAGAGUGACGGUACCUGAGAAGAAAGCCCCGGCUAACUACGUGCCAGCAGCCGCGGUAAUACGUAGGGGGCAAGCGUUGUCCGGA
rnacentral:rRNA from 1 species